CCUGCUUUGUUCGGCUCCAGCCACUCACAAGUUAGAGGCCGGUUCCAGUCCAGUUGUCAAAAGUAAUAUUUUGGGUUCCUGAGGCCAUGUUCUUCUUUCUCAAGGAAAAGUUAAAACCCUCAGGAAAGUGGAACUUGCCAAAAUAUCAGGGAGUUGCCCCUCUCAGAACUCUAAAUUCAUUUUCCUUCUGAAGGUAACAAGGUCUUUAUGUUUUGAAAGCUGCUGAUUCAGAUGGCAAUAUGAAAGACAUGAGAAGCCCGGCUCUCUGGACAGGGCUCCAGAAAGAUUAAUGACAAAGAAACAAUUAGGUUUCUCCAUCCAGUCCAAAAUGGCACAAAAAGAUGGAAGGCGGGAGUGGGAAGAAGCCCAAUGCUCGAAUAAAGGGGAAAGGAAAAGCUGAUGAAAAUGGAAGAAGAAGAGGAAGGGGAGGAGCCAGAAGAUUGGAGAGUAGGAGCUGUGCAAUAAAACUCAUACAUACAAAUAGACCUGAAAUUAGCCCAUGCUCAAAAAAAGAGGGAGAUGGAGGAGGGAAUCACAAGCCAGCUGAGCUCCAGCAAUCAGAAACCCAAAGCCAGAUCCCAGCCCUGCCUUAUUAGAAUAGAAGUGAGUGGGGGCAGCUAGGUGACUCAGUGAGUAGACCACAGGACCUGGAGUCAGAAGGACCUAAGUUCAAAUCCAGCCUCAGACACUUGACACACUAGCUGUGUGACCUUGGGCAAGUCACUUAACCCCAAUUGCCCUGCCUUCCCCCCUCCAAAAAAAAAAAUUAAAAAAAAGAACAGAAGUGGGCACCGUGAGUAAAGACAGUGAUUGGCCAUGCUCAUAUGGGAGCCUUUGUACAAGUCUUCAGAUAUUUUUGUGGAAGAAUGUGUUUAUUCAUGGUGAUUAUAGCAUUUUUCAUCUUUAAAAAAAUCAGUCUGUUAUGAUAUAAUUGGUGUUCUGGUUGGGGAGUCAUGCUAUCAAAUUCGAAAAGGUCUUUUUGAAAUUCCAUUCUAAAUAAGCUCCUCCCCAUUUCAAAAUAGUUUGAAAGAUAGGUAUUAUAUUUAUCAUCCAUUUCGUUAUUAGGUAUAAUGUCUGUAAUUUGCAUUAAGUGAAGAUUUUCCAUGAAAUCAGCUUUUCACUCUUCAGGUUUAAAGCUCAAAAACUUAAUAUCUCUUUUUGUCUAGAUUUAGGGAUAAAGUUUAGCUUUUAUAAUUGCCCUGCAGCGGUCAACAGUAUGUCAUUAUGUGGUUUGGAGCUGAAGUUACCAAUAACAAAAUGCAUCAUGAAGCCCUUGUAUGUAACUCACAGGAUUUGUUUCCAAUUUUGUCAUGGAAGGAAGGAAACAAGCAUUAAUUAAGUGCCUACUAUGUACCUGGCACUGUGCUAAUAUCUCACCAGAUCCUCACAACAACACUGAGAGAGGUAGGCACUAUUAUUCCCCCACCCCUUUUUUUAAUAGACAGGCAGAAGUUAAGCGACUUGCCCAGGGUCAUACAGCUAGUAAAUAUCUGGGGCCAGGUUUGAACUCAGGAGAGGGCGAUCCUCCAGCAUUUUGGGGUUCCUGCUUUCACAGCCACUUUUACAGUAACUCCACAAAUUCCACUACCUUCUCUGCUGGCCCCUUUCUUCUGCCUCCACCCCACCAAAUGGCUGAAUUGUUGAAUUUUGAAGGGGGUUAUAUUGUCGUUUUCAUGAUCACAUACUGGAAAUGUAAGCAGAAAUACCACUUUGGGAGACUGCUUUUCUAAGUAGAAGAAACAUUUGGAUUAUGUAUGGUUUAUUUUAACUUUUUGCUUUCAUAUUAAGAAUGAAUAGUAUUCUUUGAAGCAUGAA